rnacentral:rRNA from 1 species
AGCAGCCGCGGUAAUUCCAGCUCCAAUAGCGUAUAUUAAAGUUGUUGCAGUUAAAAAGCUCGUAGUUGAAUUUCGGAACCGAUGGAUCGGUCACGCCAUUCGGUGUGUACUGGUUUAAUUGGUUCUCACCUUCUAAGGAACCGUGAUGUCAUUAAUUUGGUGUCGCGGGGAAUUAGGACUGUUACCUUGAAAAAAUUAGAGUGUUUAAAGCAAGCUCACGCUUGAAUACAUUAGCAUGGAAUAAUGAAAUAGGACAUUGUAUUCUAUUUUGUUGGUUUCUAGGAUCGAUGUAAUGAUUAAUAGGGAUAGUUGGGGGCAUUAGUAUUCAAUUGUCAGAGGUGAAAUUCUUGGAUUUAUUGAAGACUAACUACUGCGAAAGCAUUUGCCAAGGAUGUUUUCAUUAAUCAAGAACGAAAGUUAGGGAUCGAAGACGAUCAGAUACCGUCGUAG